rnacentral:rRNA from 1 species
CAAGAACGUCCUGAAAACUAGUGACGGUGUACUGUACCAAAGUGGAGCUCCUACACGUACUAGUGGACGCUUGUUCUCACGAAACAACAUCGUCCUUCUAGAUAGACCUGUAUAAACUUUGUAAGUCACACAUACAGAGUUAGGAAGUCGACGCAUGAAUUCGGCAUGAAGUAGCUACGAUGUGUCACAGCGACAGGUCUACGUGACAAUACUUCUUACAGUAACACGUUCCUUGUCCGUAGACCCGGUAUACCAGCCAGCUGAUAUGUUCGACAAUAUUUGUAACAUUGCAUCUUACUACUCGUUGUCUUGACACCCGGUAUAAUUGGAUCUGCUUAAACGACAUUUGUACAUGCAUACUCCUCUACACAAGUAGGAUGUCGCCGUCUUUUCCUGCUCCUCUUACAAAACAUCGUUUCAUGAAUACCGUACAAAACCUUACCAAACCAAUAGUUAAAGUACACGCCGUUGUAUACACCUUGACAAGUCGUCAUAACCAAUGGACACACUGAAGCAGAUGAACUCGUUAAGUUUAUCCACGGUCAAGCGCAAUGUUCUAAAACCAUUAAGCUGCGCGUUUUUUUUUCUAAAACCAUUGGACUGUUCACACGACGGUUUAAAACCUUCCGCAGAACGAUUGGGGCUGGCAAAUCAAACAAACAACGCCCUAGUUACCGCCCCGCGUCACGGACAGGUACUUGCUCUUUCUUGAUCACGUUGUCGCACGGACGAACUUGUUACCACU